AGUGAUGGCCGAUAUUAUUGGGCCUAAAGCGUCCGUAGCUGGCCGGACAAGUCCGUUGGGAAAUCUGUUCGCUUAACGAGCAGGCGUCCAGCGGAAACUGUUCGGCUUGGGACCGGAAGACCUGAGGGGUACGUCCGGGGUAGGAGUGAAAUCCUGUAAUCCUGGACGGACCACCGGUGGCGAAAGCGCCUCAGGAGGACGGAUCCGACAGUGAGGGACGAAAGCUAGGGUCUCGAACCGGAUUAGAUACCCGGGUAGUCCUAGCUGUAAACGAUGCCCGCUAGGUGUGGCGCAGGCUACGAGCCUGCGCUGUGCCGUAGGGAAGCCGAGAAGCGGGCCGCCUGGGAAGUACGUCUGCAAGGAUGAAACUUAAAGGAAUUGGCGGGGGAGCACUACAACCGGAGGAGCCUGCGGUUUAAUUGGACUCAACGCCGGACAACUCACCAGCUCCGACAGUAGUAAUGACGGUCAGGUUGAUGACCUUACCCGAUGCUACUGAGAGGAGGUGCAUGGCCGCCGUCAGCUCGUACCGUGAGGCGUCCUGUUAAGUCAGGCAACGAGCGAGACCCGCACUCCUAAUUGCCAGCAGUACCCUUUGGGUAGCUGGGUACAUUAGGUGGACUGCCGCUGCCAAAGCGGAGGAAGGAACGGGCAACGGUAGGUCAGUAUGCCCCGAAUGAGCUGGGCAACACGCGGGCUACAAUGGUCGAGACAAUGGGAUGCAACUCCGAGAGGAGGCGCUAAUCUCCUAAACUCGAUCGUAGUUCGGAUUGAGGGCUGAAACUCGCCCUCAUGAAGCUGGAUUCGGUAGUAAUCGCGUGUCAGAAGCGCGC
rnacentral:rRNA from 1 species